UAUGUGGCUAAAGAAGCUCUUACAUUUUGCUCUCGAUACUUAGAAGGGAUUGAGACAAGAUUUAAUAGGCCACCACGUGUUGAUGAUCGUCCGGAUGGUAAUUACAAUACACAUGUUGAUUCACUUUUUCCACAAAUGGGUAACUCUAAGGGAGCUUUCACAGUAUUUGAGUUGUCACCUAUGGAAAAAAAACAAGCACAUCGCUAUGUGGUUCUAAAUUGUCCAUAUGUCAAACCGUUCAUUGAUGACUUCAAAGAUUUUGUACGAAGACGAUCUAAGGGUAGAAGGCCUUCAAAUGUAAAGAUAGAAAAAA